rnacentral:lncRNA from 1 species
AUGUUCUAUCUUAUUCAGCCUGGCAACCGCCACGGCUGCUGUGUGCCGGGCGGUGCCCGGGCGGCUGGGAGGGCGCGGCGGGAGGCGGCUCCGCGGGAGGCGGCGGUGACUCAGGCCUGGCAGCCCGGUUCUGGCGGGCCCGGGCACCGCGGCGGGCGGGGGCGGGGGCGGGGCCGGGGCGACGCGGGCGCCAUGUUACAGAGGCGGGGAGGGGAGCACCGUCCUGCCUCGGCGCUCGUUGACUUUAUCCUGCUGGCGGCGCCUGGGUGCCCGCGCAGCGCAAGGACGGCGGGACCGGGCCCUGCGGCGGGAGGGCGUGGGGGGAGUCCGGGUACUGUGGCCGAGGGUGAGCGGCGCAGGAAGGCCGGGCGCGUCCGGGUUAGCCGUGGUGUGUGGUGCGUAUGCACGCACAGCGCAGUCAGUGCGUGGCCGCGCAUCCCGUACCGUCCGUGCCUGGGUCUUGCUUCCUUCUGUAUGGUCAUGUAUGGUAAUUUCGUAAGGAGCUUAUUUCACUCAAUGCAGAAGGAUGGAGAGAGUUCCAACUGAGGAGGUGUUGCUGUGCUAUUCAUCAGUAUACUACUGGAAUGCUUAACAAACACCAAUUAAAUUCUAAGUACUCAAUUGGGCUGUGAUGGUGUGAUUAUCUCUAUUUUGGAGGAAAGGAACUGGAGCAGGAAUAUUCUAUUUACAAUGCCCCACUUACUUUGAGUGCUUAGUUGAAGACUUCAAGAAUCACAGCUUUUAGGAAUACAAGGAAUGCGGGAUGGAUGGCCACCUGUAGAG